UAUGUUUGUUCUAAGUCAAACAUCUUCAAGUUUGACCAAGUAUAUAGAAAAAUAUAGCAACAUUAACAAAAGAUAAAUAUUAUAAAAAUAUAUUCUAUGGUGGAUUUAAUAAAACUAAUUUGGUGUUGUGAAUGUUGGUACAUUUUUCUAUAAACUUUGUCAAACUUGAAGAGAUUUGACUUAGGACAAACCCAA
rnacentral:pre_miRNA from 1 species